rnacentral:rRNA from 1 species
GAUGAACGCUAGCGGCAGGCUUAAUACAUGCAAGUCGAGGGGCAGCGCGGGUAGCAAUACCUGGCGGCGACCGGCAAACGGGUGCGGAACACGUACGCAACCUUCCCAUAACUGGUGAAUAGGCCUCCGAAAGGAGGAUUAAUACACCGUAACAUAACGAAGAGGCAUCUUUUUGUUAUUAUAGUAGCAAUACGGUUUUGGAUGGGCGUGCGCCUGAUUAGGUAGUUGGCGGGGUAACGGCCCACCAAGCCUGCGAUCAGUAACUGGUGUGAGAGCACGACCAGUCACACGGGCACUGAGACACGGGCCCGACUCCUACGGGAGGCAGCAGUAAGGAAUAUUGGUCAAUGGACGAAAGUCUGAACCAGCCAUGCCGCGUGAAGGAUUUAGGCCCUCUGGGUUGUAAACUUCUUUUAUCUGGGACGAAAAAAGGGCAUUCUUGCUCACUUGACGGUACCAGAGGAAUAAGCACCGGCUAACUCCGUGCCAGCCGCCGCGGUAA